CAGUCGCCACGGGAAGACAGAGGAUGCAAGCGUUAUCCGGAAUGAUUGGGCGUAAAGCGUCUGUAGGUGGCUUUUCAAGUCCGCCGUCAAAUCCCAGGGCUCAACCCUGGACAGGCGGUGGAAACUACCAAGCUAGAGUACGGUAGGGGCAGAGGGAAUUUCCGGUGGAGCGGUGAAAUGCGUUGAGAUCGAAAAGAACACCAACGACGAAAGCACUCUGCUGGGUCGGCACUGACACUGAGAGACGAAAGCUAGGGGAGCAAAUGGGAUUAGAUACCCCUGUAGUCCCUGUCUCUUAUAC
rnacentral:rRNA from 1 species